rnacentral:lncRNA from 1 species
CUUCUGUUCUUUCAGUUUUGUUUUGUGUCUAGCUUGUGAAUGUGUGACUCAUUAAAAGGAAACUGAUAUUAUAUUGCUUUGCUUCAGAAGAACCAAUCCGUUUUAGAAAAGCUAUUGGACAUCUUUUGGGAAGCUCGAACAUUUACAGUAUAUGAAUAAUAUUUGUUCUUUUUGUUUGUGUUCUUCCAUGUGUUCAAUCAUAUUUGCUUCAAAGAAUCGCAAAGUACUAAUAGAAUUUUUAUUUUUUAUUGCAGGCUGCAGCAUGGAUUCACAAACUGUACAAAGAAUGGCAAUUCUUGAGGCAGAAAACGAAUUGAUGGACUUGGAGUAUAAUGAAGAUGAAGACUCCCAAGAAGAGGGACAUGAUCUUAGUGUCAAUGAACCUGCUCAGUCAACACAUACUCAAUGUCCAAAGAGACACACACACACUCCACGAGCUUCGCGGUCUCCACGAUCUCCACUAGCUUCACGGUCUCCACGAUCUCCACUAGCUCCACGAGCUCCACGAUCUCCACUAGCUCCACGAUCUCCACGAGCUUCACGAUCUUCACGAGCUCCACGAGCUCCAAGAGCUAAACGGCCUAGACAGGUACGUAAAAAGACUUCUAAGUGUUGGCUACACUUUACAUCGGUUGGCGUAGAGUCUGAUGGUAAAGAAAGGGCUAAGUGUCACUACUGUGGUAUUAAGUUAGUUAUAGAUAGGACUCAUGGAACUUCAACAAUGAAUCGCCAUUCACGCUCUUGUCUAGAAAAACCUGAAACCGAAGUUGUUGAAUAUGAUCCCAAAGUUGAUAAGGAAAUGGUUUCUGAGAUUAUAAUUUAUCAUGACCUUCCUUUUCGCUAUGUAGAAUACGAAAAGGUUAGGGAGAGAGAUAAAUAUCUUAAUCCAGAAUGUGAGCCUAUAAGUAGACAAACCGCAAGUAGGGAGGUGUUUAAAAGAUAUCAAAUAGAAAAGCUGAAGUUGAAAGAAAUGUUUGCAAGUUACCAAGGUCGUGUGUCUUUCACUUCUGACUUGUGGACGAGUCGUAGCCAAGUGAGAGGUUAUAUCUGCCUCACUGCUCAUUAUAUUGAUGAGAAAUGGAAGCUACACAGUCACAUAUUGGCAUUUUGCGAUGUCAAACCCCCACAUACCGGUGAAGCAAUAGCCAAGAAGAUUUUUGAUAUCCUAAAGGAGUGGGGGUUAGAGCGAAGAGUGUUUUCCCUCACCUUAGAUAAUGCUUCUGCUAAUGAUAACAUGCAAAAGAUCCUUACUCAUCGUCUGCAGAGUGGGAAUGGCUUGUUGUGCGAUGGAAAGUUCCUCCAUGUAAGGUGUUGCGCCCACAUUUUGAAUCUGAUUGUCAAGAAAGGGUUAGAGUUAGGUUCUAGUCUUUUGGUGAACAUUAGGGAGAGCGUUAAGUAUGUGAAAGCUUCUUUAUCUCUGAUUUCCUUACAGAAUGUUCAUCAAGAAAAACUCCACAUGAACUCCUUACAGAAUCUCCUCUUGAAGAUGAUUUCGAUGAUGUAAGUAUCUGACAUAAAGUUCUUGUUUAUUUUGACUUCUUAAUAAUUCGCUAAUUGCUUCUUUAUCUCUGAUUUUGUUUGAAUAUAGGAUCUGCUUGAGCUUGAAAGGUGUAUCCAGUUUGGUUCAAACAACGAAAGGACAAAUCUGGACAUGUAUUUGGCUGAUACUAAGGUUGAUAUUUCGGCAUUCUCAGAUAUGGAGGUGUUAGACUACUGGAAAGAUAAGCAACACAGAUAUGGUGACUUAGCUUUGCUUGCCCGUGAUAUUCUUAGCAUCCCUAUUACUACUGUUGCGUCUGAAUCUGCGUUUAGUGUGGGAGGUCGGGUUUUGAGUCCUUUUAGAAACCGUCUCCUCCCUAAAACUGUCCAAGCAUUGAUAUGUACGCGAAACUGGCUACGCGGGUUUGUUGAGUUUGAAGGUAAACUCCUUGUCUUGAAUUAAGUGUUUUAAGAAUUAGUGUUGUUGGUUAACUCAUUGUUUGAAUGAUUUCUUUGAUUACUUGAUGCAGGAGACAUUGAGGAGUACUUUGAUUAUGAUGAUGAGGAUGCUAAUAAAAGAGCAAGUAGCUCAGGAAAUGUAGAUUCAAACAUGUGGUAACUUCCAUGAAUUUAGCUCUUUGUGUAACUUGUAAACUGCUUUAGCUUGUUUCUUGCUGUCUGUGAUUGUAUCUUGCUGUCUGGUAGACUAUAGGCUUGUAUCUUGUUGUCUAAGACUGUAGCUUGGGUUCUGUAACAAAAUAAUAUAACUUGUGUUCUUUGUGGGUUUUACGUUGUGGAUUUUUUGUACUUGUUUUGUUGAUCUGAGUUCUUUUGCAGACUGCAUACUCUUGUAGUUCACAUGCUUGUUUAUUAGUUUGUGACUGCUUUAGCUCAUGACAUUUGUUUCAUCUUUUUUUUUUGGAUGUUCUUUUCGUUUGUUGAAAUUGAUCUUUAGUUGUCUCAUGUUUGUUCUAGACUAGAACUUCUAGUGACUGCCAUCUCUCUUGUUUUUGCAGAGUGGAGUGGAAGUUGAAACGAGUGUUAGAGAUUUUGUGAGUGGAGCUUUGCUUUACACCACCAUCUCUCUUGUUUUUGAUUUUUACACUUUAUAAAGUUAAGCUGGAACUUUGAUUUUUACACUUCAUGAAUAAAAACAUGUAAACUUUGGUUUUUCUAAUUUCAUAGUUUGAAUUUGAGAACAAAAAUGAAUAAAAGAG